rnacentral:rRNA from 1 species
AGCAGCCGCGGUAAUUCCAGCUCCAAUAGCGUAUAUUAAAGUUGUUGCAGUUAAAAAGCUCGUAGUUGAAUUUCGGGGUCAGUAGAUUGGUCGUGCCACUGGUAUGUACUGGUCUCACUGGCUCCUCCUUCCUGAUGAACCGUAAUGCCAUUAAUUUGGUGUUGCGGGGAGACUGGACUGUUACUUUGAAAAAAUUAGAGUGUUUAAAGCAGGCUAACGCUUGAAUACAUUAGCAUGGAAUAAUGUAAUAGGACGUUCGAUCUUAUUUUGUUGGUUUCUAAGAUUGACGUAAUGAUUAAUAGGGAUAGUUGGGGGCAUUAGUAUUCAAUUGUCAGAGGUGAAAUUCUUGGAUUUAU